rnacentral:rRNA from 1 species
CCUACGGGUGGCAGCAGUGGGGAAUAUUGGACAAUGGGCGAAAGCCUGAUCCAGCCAUGCCGCGUGUGUGAAGAAGGCCUUCGGGUUGUAAAGCACUUUCAGUGGGGAAGAAAGCCUUGGGGCUAAUACCCUCGAGGAAAGACAUCACCCACAGAAGAAGCACCGGCUAACUCCGUGCCAGCAGCCGCGGUAAUACGGAGGGUGCGAGCGUUAAUCGGAAUUACUGGGCGUAAAGCGCGCGUAGGCGGUCUGAUAAGCCGGUUGUGAAAGCCCCGGGCUCAACCUGGGAACGGCAUCCGGAACUGUCAGGCUAGAGUGCAGGAGAGGAAGGUAGAAUUCCCGGUGUAGCGGUGAAAUGCGUAGAGAUCGGGAGGAAUACCAGUGGCGAAGGCGGCCUUCUGGACUGACACUGACGCUGAGGUGCGAAAGCGUGGGUAGCAAACAGGAUUAGAUACCCCAUAGUC